GAAGGAAGAAGGGCAUCGACGUCGUUGUCUCCGGUUUGCGAUCGGAGCCCAAUCGCCGCCGUUACUUUUUCAGAUUUGCCAUCAUUAGUGCAGACAAAGCUCUCUAGUAAUGGUUCGAUUAGGGUUCGGAAGGGAGCCCUUGUUGCUGAUUCAUCGGUUCAUUGAUGUUGCUAAGUUUUCUUAAGAAGGGGAGGCCAAAUGAGGUGUAAACAUACCAAAGGAGACGAAUCCUCCAUUUGUUGUUAGAUUUUGGAAAGAUUCUCGUCUCAACUCAGGAGGAGGGAUUGGCGACCAGGUACAUCGUGGCGCUUUGGAGAAUUCUGCUGAGUUGCUAACAUCUACAAGCUCCUGCAGAUCCCACUGCCCACGUCCUUCAGUUUGAGGCUACACAACAUAUCUUUCAGUUGCAAACUCAGUAUGACUGAUUGUAUCGAGGAAAUCUCAGUGAUAGUCAUCAUACGAGCUUCUGAAAGAGAUUGGAGACAAUCUGAAGCAGUUUCAAGAUAUAUUGGUGGCAUCCAUAUCGACAGGUUAACAAUUUGAGGACUUGAUUCUGAUGCCUGCCCAUAGGUACUGAAUUUAUCAAAAAGAACCUGAAUGGUGCAACUUACUGCCAAAGGACUGAGAAAGGCACCCUUCAACUAUGCCACCAAGAGUUAACUGUUGUGGUUGGUGAAAUAAUGAAGCCAGUUCUAGGCACAAUGUAUGCUGCAGAUGUGGAUUAGCAAGGAGGUUUGUGCAUUGUAACUAUGCACCUGUUUCCUGUUGAAUUGAUGGUUGAUUGAUAGAUUACUUGAGAACUUCCAAGGAAAAAAUAGGAACUUGAGAGAACAGUUGUGAUGGUCAUCAGUCCUUUGUUAUAGCAACUUUAGGAGUAUUUGGGAGAGUUUUUACUUAUUUAAAA